GGAGUACAGUCGCAAGGCUGAAACUCAAAGGAAUUGACGGGGGCCCGCACAAGCGGUGGAGCAUGUGGUUCAAUUCGACGCAACGCGAAGAACCUUACCUGGGCUCGAACGGCUGGUCAACGGAGGUGGAAACAUCUUUACCCCGCAAGGGGGUCCAGUCGAGGUGCUGCAUGGCUGUCGUCAGCUCGUGUCGUGAGAUGUUGGGUUAAGUCCCGCAACGAGCGCAACCCUUGUCCUGUGUUGCCAUCAUUUAGUUGGGAACUCGCAGGAGACCGCCAGCGAUAAGCUGGAGGAAGGUGGGGAUGACGUCAAGUCCUCAUGGCCUUUAUGUCCAGGGCUACACACGUGCUACAAUGGACGGUACAAAGCGUCGCUAACCCGCGAGGGGGAGCCAAUCGCAAAAAACCGUUCCCAGUUCGGAUUGCAGGCUGCAACUCGCCUGCAUGAAGCUGGAAUCGCUAGUAAUGGCAGAUCAGCACGCUGCCGUGAAUACGUUCCCGGGCCUCGUACACACCGCCCGUCACAUCACGAAAGUGGAUUGUACUAGAAGUCUGCAGGCUGACCCGCAAGGGAGGCAGCGGCCCAAGGUAUGAUCCAUGAUUGGGGU
rnacentral:rRNA from 1 species